rnacentral:rRNA from 1 species
UAGGGAAUCUUCGGCAAUGGGGGGAACCCUGACCGAGCAACGCCGCGUGAGUGAAGAAGGUUUUCGGAUCGUAAAGCUCUGUUGUUAAGGAAGAACGAGUGUGAGAAUGGAAAGUUCAUGCUGUGACGGUACUUAACCAGAAAGGGACGGCUAACUACGUGCCAGCAGCCGCGGUAAUACGUAGGUCCCGAGCGUUGUCCGGAAUUAUUGGGCGUAAAGCGAGCGCAGGCGGUUAGAAAAGUCUGAAGUGAAAGGCAGUGGCUCAACCAUUGUAGGCUUUGGAAACUGUUUAACUUGAGUGCAGAAGGGGAGAGUGGAAUUCGAUGUGUAGCGGUGAAAUGCGUAGAUAUAUGGAGGAACACCGGUGGCGAAAGCGGCUCUCUGGUCUGUAACUGACGAUGAGGCUCGAAAGCGUGGGGAGCGAACAGG